rnacentral:lncRNA from 12 species
CGGGGAGCGGGGGAGUUGUUACCUGGCCAACCUAGGCUGGCUCACGACUCACGACAGGACCACAGUCAUGCUUUCUGAUCCCCAGUCAGCGGACUGGGUCUGACGGGCGGGCAUGUGCUUCACGGGAGAGACGACAGAAGUCUGAAAUUAGGACUAUUCGAAAACAUAGACCACUUCCUGAAAAAGGAAAAAUCGGGCACUUGACACCUUGGCCUGUUGCUACUUGGGAGACCCCGAGACCGUUGCUUUCUUAUCUGUCCACGUGUGCAACACUUAACGUGACGCAAGAGCCAGCAGAAGCUCCUUAUUUCCGUCUGCUGCCCUUGCUAGCCAGGAAGUCCUUAAGAAAUAUAAAACAUCAUAAUAGAACGUCUUUAUAUAGAGCUAUAGUCCUAUUUGGGUCGCUAAGAGGCUUUCGGCAUAGAGGUGAGAGCGGUCGGGUCUUGGACGAACUGCUUUUUGGUUGUUUGUAACAAUGGUUUGUUUUCUCUUAUCCUCCCCAGAAAUUGAUAAUUAUCAUUGUGGUAGUAGUGGUGUUGCUGGGCAUUUUAGCGUUGAUUAUUGGACUUUCCGUUGGGCUGAAGUAAUGGUGGCCCGAGCGGCUGCUGCACUGAAAUGCCUGCUAACGUUGCCCUCCGCCGCCAUCCUGCGCACUGAUGAGCUCCUCCCUCCCCCGCCUCCCUUAGAGCCUGAUCCACUCCAGCCUGCUGUGGCCACCCUCAUCUUCAGAUGGGAACGGAGUCCGAGGGGCCUUCCUGAGUGGGACCUGUUCCUUUGCUUCCUUGUAACCGUCCUUGGACCUGACCCAGCAAACACUCUGGCCCCGGAGGAAGCUAACCUCCCUGAUGCAACCCCGAGUUCUCCUCACACCUCCUCCUGCCCCGCCAGCUCUCGAGCACCUUCUCUCCCGGACAGUGCGAACCGCCCGGCUCCCCGUCUUCCCUCUGAACGUGUCACGUUACCCCUUGCACCGGGAGAGCUCGCUCACAACCUUCCCGAGGGGCUGUUUUCUACCUCACGGACUGUUCUCUCAGACACUGCAAUGAAUCUCUUCAGGGGUGUGCGAAACAACACAAAGGGGUUCUCCCGAGCGGGGCAACAGUAAGGCUGGACGCGAGCCUUCUACUUGGCAGGUCUCGGCCCCCAGCUUGUUGUCCCUGGGUCUUGCAAAUACGAGGGACUGCAGAUGUCACGUUGGUCUUAGAAGCUGACUUUCGGGAAAUUCGGUCUUAAAUUACCCUUUGAAGAUGUUCGGCUUGGCGGCCAACUUCAGCCUUUACGCUGUGGUCGCUCAUGUCUACUCAGGGAGGCUCCAGGGGACGUGGCGGCCUGGGGUUUCCAUCUGUAAAAGCUGAGGGUAGAGGCCUUGUUUCCCUCGGACUCUUGGAAACUGGCUCUUCUCAUCAGAGUGAUGCUUUGUGAAGCCACUGCCUUGAGGCCGGAAGAACCCAGGCGCUUAAAAUUGGGCCAGGGACGAGGUGCUGGAGCCUCAGGCUCUGGAAACGCUCAGAUUGGUGCGAGUGUUCAGUCACUCAUUUCGUAUAUUCCAGAUGUAUUGUUAUAAUCAUGUGUGUCAGAUGUAUGUUCAUGUUUGCCCGUGUCUCUCAGGAAGUAGGAACUAGAAAUGAAGACUGUUAGAACCUCAAAAAAAAAAAAAAAAAAAAAACCUUGAGCAGGGCUAAAAACUAGUUAGGAGACAUUUGCUUACCUGCAAAUGGAUCCUAGUAGAAAUGGAUCUUCCCGUGUCAUCGAGAAGCCUCGUUUUCUAGAUGGGGACUGGAACAGUCCUAGAUCUUUGGGGGGAGGACUACGUUGAUCCCGUUAAGUUUUUCUGCGUAGCAGACAGGUGCGAUAGGCUUGGCACCUCUCCCCGCUGCUGCGUAGGUGAGGCUUGUCCUGAGAACAACCACAGCGACUUGAGGUUGAUCCUGUGCCUUCAGGAUGGUCCUGUCUCCCGGGCAGAGUCAGUUGGGGAGACAGGCGACUACCGAGUAGCUCAUCCUGUUAACCCGGUUAAUGAGCCUCACAGGUUUGGUCUCCCCCGUUCUUGUCACGGAGGAAGCAACAGCCAGGAAACGAGUUCAG